rnacentral:lncRNA from 1 species
GGAUCCUUGCAUGAAGGGAUGCCAGACCAGAGGCUGUUGCAUUAGACUCUGGCACAUGCAGUUGGAGAGGAGGCGUGAGAACCACGGCAGCAUCACGAAUGAGAGAGGCCUGGGUUCCUGCAUGACACGUAGAAUAGAGAACCACCUCUUCAUAACCUUUUAAAAUUCAUGACGCAGCAGUUUUGAAGAGACUAGGACAGCCGUAGAAUACUGCCACAUUCAGGAUUUGUCUCAGUGUUUCUUCAUCUUGUUUAACUUCCUCCUCGAUUCCUUGUGUUUUCUGCAAAUGGAAACCCAGCUCUGUAAUGUGGUUCCAUUCAGGUUAACUUUUUUCAAACAUGAUGUCAUACUUUAUACUGCAUCCAAUCAGAGGGACAUCAAUGCCCAGGCUCCCACCUCCCGUGAUAACUAUGUUUGAAGACUGAGCUCAGAUGGUGGCUGCAGAUGUCUCCACUGUAAAAGCACUUCCCACUUUCACAAUGAGCAUGUAAACUGUGGAGUAACUCUUGGUCACUAUCCUAACAUCCUGUUCCUGAACAACAUUUCACCCAAUAUUUUCAACAUCCAUUGUGGUGCCUUCCCUCAACUGUUUUUAUUUAGCAUUUAUUGAGCAAUUUACUAUGUACUAGGCUCUCUUCUAAGGGUCUGCAUGGCUUGGCCUAUGGUCCCCUUCCAGCUUCAAAGCCAGCAGUGAUGGGUUGAGUUCUCAUAUAGCAGCACUCUGAGCUUGCUUUUAUUAUCACAUCUUUUCUGAGUUUGACUGAAUCUCCUUCAGUUUCCCUUGUCCAUUUUAUAAAUAUAGCAGCACCUGGACUCUCUGAUCUUCAUUACAGCAUGUGGGAUCUUUUUACUUGCAGUAUGGGGGAUUUUUAGCUUUGGCACACAAACUCUUAAUUGCAGCAUGUGAGAUCUAGUUCCCUGACAAGGGAUCGAACCUGGAUCCCUGCAUUGAGGGCAGAGUCAGAGCCACUGGACCACGAAGUCUCUCCUUCAUC